UACGGGGGGGGUAAGCGUUGUUCGGAAUUACUGGGCGUAAAGGGCUCGUAGGCGGCCAACUAAGUCAGACGUGAAAUCCCUCAGCUUAACUGGGGAACUGCGUCUGAUACUGGAUGGCUUGGAUUCGGGAGAGGAAUGCGGAAUUCCAGGUGUAGCGGUGAAAUGCGUAGAUAUCUGGAGGAACACCAGAGGUGAAGACGGGUUGCUGGGCCGACACUGACGCUGACAGCGCGAAAGCCAGGGGAGCAAACGGG
rnacentral:rRNA from 1 species